UACGUAGGGCGCAAGCGUUGUCCGGAAUUAUUGGGCGUAAAGAGCUCGUAGGCGGUUUGUCGCGUCUGCUGUGAAAACCUCAGGCUCAACCUGGGGCUUGCAGUGGGUACGGGCAGACUAGAGUGCGGUAGGGGUGACUGGAAUUCCUGGUGUAGCGGUGGAAUGCGCAGAGUAUCAGGAGGAACCAGCCGGUGGCGAAGGCAGCCCCCUGGUCAAGAU
rnacentral:rRNA from 1 species